GUAGGGUGCAGGCGUUAAUCGGAAUUACUGGGCGUAAAGCGUGCGCAGGCGGUCUAUUAAGACAGGUGUGAAAUCCCCGGGCUUAACCUGGGAACUGCGCUUGUAACUGAUAGGCUGGAGUGUGGCAGAGGGGGGUGGAAUUCCAGGCGUAGCAGUGAAAUGCGUAGAGAUCUGGAGGAACACCGAUGGCGAAGGCAGCCCCCUGGGCUAACACUGACGCUCAUGCACGAAAGCGUGGGGAGCAAACAGGAUUAGAUACCCUGGUAGUCCACGCCCUAAACUAUGUCAACUGGUUGUCGGGGAAGCAAUUCCUUGGUAACGAAGCUAACGCGUGAAGUUGACCGCCUGGGGAGUACGGCCGCAAGGUUA
rnacentral:rRNA from 1 species